rnacentral:rRNA from 1 species
GGUUUAAUUCGAAGCAACGCGAAGAACCUUACCAGGUCUUGACAUCUUCUGACAAUUCCAGAGAUGGAACGUUCCUUCGGGGACAGAAUGACAGGUGGUGCAUGGUUGUCGUCAGCUCGUGUCGUGAGAUGUUGGGUUAAGUCCCGCAACGAGCGCAACCCUUAUUGUCAGUUGCCAUCAUUAAGUUGGGCACUUUGGCGAGACUGCCGGUGACAAACCGGA